rnacentral:rRNA from 1 species
CUUGAAUAAAAGUAGUAUUUGGUCUUCAUAACUCAAAGAAUUUGGCGGUUAGUUAUUUAUCAGAGGAUCCUGUAUAUUGAUUGAUAAACCACGAUAGUUUAUACUUUUUAUUUACUUAUAUAUCUCUAUAUUUAUGAAUGUUUUAUUAGAAAUAUUUUCUUUUGGAUUAAUCGUUAAUUUUAGGUCAAGGUGUAGUUUUUAUUAUAGUUUAUAUGGGUUAUUUUAGUUUAAAUUAUAAUUUUAUUUAAUCUGGUUUAGUUUAUAUUUUUAGAUUUGAUAGUAAAUUUAAUUAAUUAAUUAUUUUGAACUUA